rnacentral:pre_miRNA from 1 species
UCUUCAUUUCCCGUACUCUCUCAUCGGUCAGAGAGGCGAGAUAGUGUGUGAAAUGAAGAGA